GUUAAGCGACUAAGCGUACACGGUGGAUGCCCUGGCAGUCAGAGGCGAUGAAGGGCGUGCUAAUCUGCGAUAAGCGCCGGUAAGGUGAUAUGAACCGUUAUAACCGGCGAUACCCGAAUGGGGAAACCCAGUGUGAUUCGUCACACUAUCAUUAACUGAAUCCAUAGGUUAAUGAGGCGAACCGGGGGAACUGAAACAUCUAAGUACCCCGAGGAAAAGAAAUCAACCGAGAUUCCCCCAGUAGCGGCGAGCGAACGGGGAGGAGCCCAGAGCCUGAAUCAGCAUGUGUGUUAGUGGAAGCGUCUGGAAAGGCGCGCGAUACAGGGUGACAGCCCCGUACACAAAAGCGCAUGUGCUGUGAGCUCGAUGAGUAGGGCGGGACACGUGGUAUCCUGUCUGAAUAUGGGGGGACCAUCCUCCAAGGCUAAAUACUCCUGACUGACCGAUAGUGAACCAGUACCGUGAGGGAAAGGCGAAAAGAACCCCGGCGAGGGGAGUGAAAAAGAACCUGAAACCGUGUACGUACAAGCAGUGGGAGCACCCUUCGGGGUGUGACUGCGUACCUUUUGUAUAAUGGGUCAGCGACUUAUAUUCUGUAGCAAGGUUAACCGUAUAGGGGAGCCGGAGGGAAACCGAGUCUUAAUUGGGCGUUAAGUUGCAGGGUAUAGACCCGAAACCCGGUGAUCUAGCCAUGGGCAGGUUGAAGGUUGGGUAACACUAACUGGAGGACCGAACCGACUAAUGUUGAAAAAUUAGCGGAUGACCUGUGGCUGGGGGUGAAAGGCCAAUCAAACCGGGAGAUAGCUGGUUCUCCCCGAAAGCUAUUUAGGUAGCGCCUCGUGAAUUCAUCUCCGGGGGUAGAGCACUGUUUCGGCUAGGGGGCCAUCCCGGCUUACCAACCCGAUGCAAACUGCGAAUACCGGAGAAUGUUAUCACGGGAGACACACGGCGGGUGCUAACGUCCGUCGUGAAGAGGGAAACAACCCAGACCGCCAGCUAAGGUCCCAAAGUCAUGGUUAAGUGGGAAACGAUGUGGGAAGGCCCAGACAGCCAGGAUGUUGGCUUAGAAGCAGCCAUCAUUUAAAGAAAGCGUAAUAGCUCACUGGUCGAGUCGGCCUGCGCGGAAGAUGUAACGGGGCUAAACCAUGCACCGAAGCUGCGGCAGCGAACGUAUCACCCAAGACAACUUUACGGAGUUGACGAUUGACGGAGCGAAGCGACGUCAAAGCGUUCAUUAAAGUCGAGUUGGCUUAGGGAUACGUUCGUUGGGUAGGGGAGCGUUCUGUAAGCCUGUGAAGGUGUGUCGUGAGGCAUGCUGGAGGUAUCAGAAGUGCGAAUGCUGACAUAAGUAACGAUAAAGCGGGUGAAAAGCCCGCUCGCCGGAAGACCAAGGGUUCCUGUCCAACGUUAAUCGGGGCAGGGUGAGUCGACCCCUAAGGCGAGGCCGAAAGGCGUAGUCGAUGGGAAACGGGUUAAUAUUCCCGUACUUGGUGUUACUGCGAAGGGGGGACGGAGAAGGCUAUGUUGGCCGGGCGACGGUUGUCCCGGUUUAAGCGUGUAGGUGUGUGUUCCAGGUAAAUCCGGUUCACUUUAACACUGAGGCGUGACGACGAGGCACUACGGUGCUGAAGCAACAAAUGCCCUGCUUCCAGGAAAAGCCUCUAAGCAUCAGGUAACACGAAAUCGUACCCCAAACCGACACAGGUGGUCAGGUAGAGAAUACCAAGGCGCUUGAGAGAACUCGGGUGAAGGAACUAGGCAAAAUGGUGCCGUAACUUCGGGAGAAGGCACGCUGACACGUAGGUGAAGUGAUUUACUCAUGGAGCUGAAGUCAGUCGAAGAUACCAGCUGGCUGCAACUGUUUAUUAAAAACACAGCACUGUGCAAACACGAAAGUGGACGUAUACGGUGUGACGCCUGCCCGGUGCCGGAA
rnacentral:rRNA from 1 species